UCCCAGGGACAGGGGAGCCUGGUGGGCUGCCGUCCAUGGGGUCGCACAGAGUCGGACACGACUAAAGCGACUUAGCAGCAGCAGCAGCAGCGAGAUGAUAAUCUUUAACAGCAUAAUCCUUAAAGUGUAUUCUCCCCUAUGUCCCCCCCACCACUUUCAGAGUAUACAUUUCCCCAGGUUAGAGGUGCUAAUUAGUGUGCUGUUCUUAAGGCACCAUUCUCAUUUUCCAUCAUCUACCAUCCACCAUUUGGAGAUUCCAAUUUGACGUGUCUAAAAUUGGAAUGAGGUCUGGAUGUUAGGAUUAUGUUUUUAAAGGUACUCAUUUCCUUCUAAGGUGCACCCAUGGCUGAGGGCCACUGACAAAGCAUAAAGGAAUAUGUUUCUGUAGAAAAGCUGCUGCUUCACUAAUGCUGCUUUAUGAGAUGCCCGUCUAAUUAGAAGUCAUGCGUGUAGCUUUCGUCUUUGUCUUUUCUUGCAACCCUCAAGAGUAGUUAUGAUCUCCAGACAUAAACGAAUGCAUUUUCUUUUUCCUGUCCACCCCUCCCAUAUACUACUUCUAGAGGGAAGUUUGCAGAAGGGUCCCCCUGGAGCACUUUAGUGUCAGUUACAUAGAUCAUUGGAGGAGUCAAUUCAAAGUUCCUCAGAAUAAGAUUAGGGAAGCAGGCCUGGGUCCAGCCUAGCUGGUCCCUUGGCUUUCCUGCGGACACUGUGGUGGGGCGUGGGGCCCCAGCUUCUCUCUCGUACUCUUUAAAUCCAUCCUCCGAGGUGACUCAGCUUUUGAACCCCCAAGCAGACACUCCCCUCUACCUGUCCCACUUUCCCAUACAUCCCAGGAUUCUAUUUUACUGGGCCCCUAAAUCAUCACGGUGCUUUAUAAAGUCCAAUAUUGCAGCAAACUGUAACUAAUCACUCACUCUAGUAAGCAUAUCAAUCAAACAUAGGUAUAUCACAAAAGAUUGAAAGCAAGAACGUGAAAAAUCAUGGUACGAGCAUGAUUUCUGAUGAUAGAAUGCACUGGUUUACCUGUAUUGUAUACAUAAAGAGCAUGCAUCUUUGUGUCCACAGGGGAUUUUCAUCCUUAACGAAGCGUGAAUCAUGCCAGCCAGGCAAAACCACGGCCUGAUCCUUGGAGCUGCGACUGAGAAGAAUAGUUCCAGGCUUUUCUUACUGUAACCCAGAGUUUCUCAACCUUGACGCUUCUGACUUUCUGGUGGUUGCCCUGCCCCGCAAAAUUGGUUUGGAGCUUGGAGCUGAUGCUGCCACACACUCUGGGAAGACGUGACAAGAUUGAUGACCCACAUCAUGGGAUUGCCUGGAGAGAACAGAGCAGAUUAUCUCUUCUCAUGGUUGCAAGAAUGCUGCUAUGGCUCCAAGCAUCACAUCCCCAGCAAAAAUAUACCAAAAGGAAGGAAAAGGAAGGGCAAGAGGGCUCUGUUCUUGGGAUGAAUUAGACCCCAAAAGUCUUGUCCAAGUUGAAGAAAAAGCGUAAAGAACUCCUUGGACUUAGAUCAAAUUUGCUUUUAAUUCUUUUUACUCCAGAAACAGCUAUUGAGAAUAAACUAUGCAAAAAAUAUUGUUAUGGGUCUAGAAUAUUAAUGGGUAGAGACAGUUUCCCAUUACCUCCUUUACCCCUCCCAGAGAAAGUCUUGAAGUUCAGUGGUUGUGGAAGGUCACACAGAGGGACACAUCUACCAGGGGAUUGAAAAAUGGUAUAUUGGGUCUGCCACGUUUUAUAAUUUCACCCGCCUGAAGUCACAGACAGCUUGAAAUGCCAGGAAGCCAGGAAGCCUGCUACUCAGUCCACUGUGGCACUCAGAUCUAAUGACUGUGUUUGGAGACUUAAAAAUCUUUUAGGACCUGCAUGGGGACAACAUGUCUCUCUCUAUAGAGGUUGUUGUUGUUCAGUCAUGAAGUCAUGUCCAAC